AUGAAGUGCAUGCAGGAGAUAGUCUGUGGAUGUGCGGGGAAGCCAAUUGUGGAGACCACGCGGUCUUGUCGCUGUCAGUGCCCCGCGCUAGUAAGGCUGUUGCGUUCAAAGGAUAAUGGAUGGUACAUAGCGGAGCACCGAGAUGUGCACAACCAUGCAUUGACACACACAUAUGGACAGACACUCCAUUGGCCGUCGCACAAGCAUAUUGAUCAAUACAGUAGGGACCUUGUGAAACAGCUGAGGCAAAAUAAUGUGAAUCUAGCAAAAGUGUAUAGUAUCAUUAGUAGCUUCUUUGGGAAGAUGGAGAAUGUACCAUUCACGAAGAGGGCUUUGCGGAAUCUGUGUGGGAAGAUUAGCCGGGAAUAG
rnacentral:rRNA from 1 species